UACGUAGGGGGGCGAGCGUUGUCCGGAUUCAUUGGGCGUAAAGAGCUCGUAGGCGGCUCAGUAAGUCGAGUGUGAAACCUCCAGGCUCAACCUGGAGCCUGCAACUUGAUACUGCUGUGGCUUGAGUCCGGUAGGGGACCACGGAAUUCCUGGUGUAGGACGGUGAAAUGCGCAGAUAUCAGGAGGAACACCGGUGGCGAAGGCGGUGGUCUGGGCCGGCACUGACGCUGAGGAGCGAAGCGUGGGGAGCAAACAGG
rnacentral:rRNA from 1 species